rnacentral:rRNA from 1 species
UACGAAGGGUGCAAACGUUGCUCGGAAUCAUUGGGCGUAAAGCGCACGUAGGCGGCAUUCUAAGUCGGAUGUGAAAUCCCUCGGCUCAACCGAGGACGUGCAUCCGAAACUGGAACGCUCGAGUAUGGAAGAGGGUCGCGGAAUUCUCGGUGUAGAGGUGAAAUUCGUAGAUAUCGGGAGGAACACCAGUGGCGAAGGCGGCGACCUGGGCCAAUACUGACACUCAAGUGCGAAAGCGUGGGGAGCAAACAGG